rnacentral:lncRNA from 1 species
UAGCCUGUUGAGGGCAAAGCUAAAACCUGCCUUAAUAAAGCACAGGACAAUAUUUUCUCAUUACAGUCUCAUACAGACACUAAAGGAUAAGCCACUAACACAGUGCAUGGUGACUUGUAUGUUCUGUGGCCAGAAUUUCAUGACGAACCAUGUUGACGUCUGUGAAAUUUUGUUGCCCAGUUUGAGCUGAAAGUGUAUUGCCGAAGAUGGUCUUGGCCAUUUGUAAAUUAACAGAGGAAUUGAUUGUCCUGCUCUGCUGUAUGUUUGCAUUCCUUGGUGAGCGCAGCGAGGUAUGUUUAUUUUCAUGAGUAUUUAAAAUUCCGAAUUGAGUAAAAUGUAAAGUUAUGUGUAUGUUUCUGUCUAUUUUAAUGUAGGGUUCACAGUGCUGUAAAGAGACAAAGACUGGAUGGGUUCUCAAGAACUUUGAAUAAAGCAAAAAUAAACUAAACAUCAGUCAAGACUCACUUUUGGGUCCAAGGGCUGCUACAGCUGGUAAUGUCUUGCAAACCUUUCCACACUGGACGCAGGGUCGUUGGCUGAAAUCUAUUCAUUCAGCUUCUCAGAGUAGCUUCUUCUGAUUUCCCUGGUCAGUGUGUGUUUUAUUGAUCCAAUGUUUUUUACCAUGGUGUUAAAUAGUCAAUGACCUUGAUGUUAUGGACAUUGUUACACUUGUGCAAAUGUAGAAUAUAUUUCACAGCUUGAAAAGAAUAACAACUUAACUGCUGAGCGAGACCAAGGUUAACCACAGUUGGGACCUGCCCAUGAUAACAGUGUCCAAUAGACGGUGUUUGGCUGAAAAAAAAUUCCUCAUGGAGAAUGUAAUUGACAUGUAUGUGCGCUUAUUCAGAUGCUCAGAAUGUGCAGCUAAAUAUUAUCCAUGUCUGGUGCCAUCUUGUUUCUACUAGGUGUGAAAGGCAGGUGGCACAGAACUGGGUUGAAAGACACUGGGAUCUUAAGGAUGUUAAAGGAAAGGCCUGAUAUGGUAACAGUACUGUUCCCCAGAUGUGCAGCAGCUAAGUUAGAAGCAGAGCACAGCACACGGUGACACAACGAAAUGUGUUUCGUUCAUCGUUCAUCAACCUUGGUGAGCAGUGGGCAGACAUGACAGGCGCCCGGGGAGCAGUGUGUGGGGACGGUGCUUUGUUCAGUGGCACCUUGGCUGAUCGGGAUUCAAACCGGCAACCUACUGAUUAUGGGGCUGCCCCGAAGUGAUGAGAGCCUGAAAGUAUGAGGAAGACAACAUUGAUGAGGCAAAGCCACUGCAUUCCUACUGGAAUACAUUGACACAGGUGAUAAAUAGAAAACAGUAGUUGUAAAGGACUUUUCAGUGACAGAUCAUCAAUGAUAGAUUAUUGCAAAAACAAUUUUGAUACAGAAAAAGAAAAGACAAUUUACAAGAAAUGAAAAAGGAGAAAUAGCACAUGACUCAUUCCUAUGAAUGUUUCUUUCUUCCUAGCCUCUGCAGCACAGCUUAAUGAGAUUGUUGAGUUCUGGACUGGGUGGAUGUUGAAAUACUGUCACCUUUCCACUGGCCUCCACCUACUUCACCACUUUAAAGAUUCCAGGAAGAGGUGGGAGCUUCUUGGGGAAAAAAAUUAGAGCAGCCACAAAGUUUUGUUUUUGACUGGUGUAAAUUGACCACCUUCAAGGUCACUAGGUUCUUAGUCAAAUACAGUAAUUGGUGUUCAGUAAUGGUACUGCUAUAACCUGUUUUAAAUGCUGUUCACUGUUCUUGACACACAGUUGAGAUUUAUGACAUUUCGGUUGAGACCUUUAUACAUUGUAAUUAGCAUUUACAACUCUCUUAUGCUUUUACUGCUGUUUUAGAUGAAUUUGUGUAAUGUGCUUUCAGUCUUAAGUCAUUCAUAAAUUGUGUGAUUUUGUGAUGUAAUAGACAAUAUGCAUUACUGAAUUCCUGACAUCCUAUGUGUAGUUCAGGCAGCCUUAAAGAAUGUUAGUCUGGGAAUAGGUAUUCCAGUUGUUAACUUCCUGUGCUUCACUCAGAGAAACAUCAUGAUUAGGCAGUCUUGCAAGCUCCUCUGGCG